UCAGCCUCAAGGCCUCCUCCCACAAAGACUGACGGCUCCGUGACUCUGGACAAUGGCAUCAUCCGAGUGAAGCUGGACCCAACUGGCCGCCUGACGUCCUUGGUCCUGGUGGCCUCUGGCAGGGAGGCCAUUGCCGAGGGUGCCGUGGGGAACCAGUUUGUGCUAUUUGAUGAUGUCCCCUUGUACUGGGAUGCAUGGGACGUCAUGGACUACCACCUGGAGACACGGUAUGGGCUGGGCAGCAUGUGGGGAUGGUGGAGGUAGUGGGAACACAGGCUGCUCUGGAUCAGUAUGUCCACCCCUGUCCCAUAGGAAGCCUGUGCUGGGCCAGGCAGGGACCCUGGCAGUGGGCACCGAGGGCGGCCUGCGGGGCAGCGCCUGGUUCUUGCUACAGAUCAGCCCCAACAGUCGGCUUAGCCAGGAGGUUGUGCUGGACGUUGGCUGCCCCUAUGUCCGCUUCCACACCGAGGUACACUGGCAUGAGGCCCACAAGUUCCUGAAGGUGGAGUUUCCUGCUCGCGUGCGGAGUUCCCAGGCCACCUACGAGAUCCAGUUUGGGCACCUGCAGCGACCUACCCACUACAAUACCUCUUGGGACUGGGCUCGAUUUGAGGUGUGGGCCCAUCGCUGGAUGGAUCUGUCAGAACACGGCUUCGGGCUGGCCCUGCUCAACGACUGCAAGUAUGGCGCGUCAGUGCGAGGCAGCAUCCUCAGCCUCUCGCUCUUGCGGGCGCCUAAAGCCCCGGACGCUACUGCUGACACGGGGCGCCACGAGUUCACCUACGCGCUGAUGCCGCACGAGG
rnacentral:sRNA from 1 species